GUGUCGUAGAGUGUUGGGUUAAGUCCCGUAACGAGCGCAACCCUAUCCUUAUUUGCCAGCACAUUAUGGUGGGAACUAUAAGGAGACUGCCGGUGAUAAACCGGAGGAAGGCGGGGACUACGUCAAGUCAUCAUGGCCCUUACGACCAGGGCUACACACGUGCUACAAUGGGAAGGACAAAGAGCCGCAAAGCCGCGAGGUGUAGCUAAUCUCACAAAUCUUCUCGUUAGUCCGGAUUGGAGUCUGCAACUCGACUCCAUGGAGUCGGAAUCGCUAGUAAUCGUAGAUCAGAAUGCUACGGUGAAUACGUUCCCGGGUCUU
rnacentral:rRNA from 1 species